AGAAGUAAAAGUCGUAACAAGGUCUCCGUUGGUGAACCAGCGGAGGGAUCAUUA
rnacentral:rRNA from 7 species